AGGCUGAGGCAGGAGAAUUGCUUGAACCCGGGAGGUGNNNNNNNNNNGGAGGUGGAGGUUGCAGUGAGCGGAGAUUGUGCCACUGCACUCCAGCCUGGGCAACAGAGCGAGGCUCUGUCUCAGAAAAACAAUAAAUGGCUGUGGUGCACCAUCCGUGCAAAGAUGAAGAGCCCAGGCUAAGGGAAGUGCCGAGACUUGGCAGCAGGGCUGGGACCCAGGCCUUCUGCUUCGGGGUUCUGGGCAGGAUGGUCUUCAGUGAUAGCCAAGGAGGCUUCGGCCCUGGAGUCACCAC
rnacentral:lncRNA from 1 species